rfam:Lactobacillus perolens DSM 12744 Scaffold5, whole genome shotgun sequence.
CCACAUCUGCAACCGCUCAGGAAGGGGUUUAAGUGCGCAAGCCACCUCGACUGGCGAGUCUGAGAAAAUUG